UGACCCAGUGAUGACAUCUCCAAGGUGUGAGUCCCAGAUGAUGAAGGAUGUGUAUCUGAAACUCUGAGGUCCAA